rnacentral:lncRNA from 1 species
AUUCAUACUGAUGCCACCAAGUCAUUCCUGAUUUGGAUUGGUGGGGCCUGAGGGACUUAGAGGGGAAGAGUGUGGCGAGUGUGAGAGUCUACAUUCAUGUCAAUAUCUUCUCUUUGGAGACAUCUAAGUGUUCUCCACAAUUCACGGGUUAAUGACUGCUAGUCAAGGGUGACAUUUCCUAUCCUCUGUCCUCCCUCAUACCUAGACAGGACCUCGUCACCUUCUAGACAGGACCAGGUAACCAAAGAAAGUAGACCGCUCUAACCACAGCAGAGAGAACAAGUCCUUAAAAACUGCUUCACAAGCUAAUCAAACAGGAAUUUCUUUAUUCUGAAACAAGCAAGAGACAUGAAAGUGACUCUACAGGCCUGUGAAGAGUUGGUUGGACCUCAAGGUCAGCUCUGAUAGUUCUGAACCUCACGGGGCCUCCACCUUCCUGUGAGUCACUUGAGAAAAGUGAUUUCAGGUUUGUCAGUGAGAUGCACCUAGUAACAGGAGACCCGAGCCUCAUGGCCUCCAGAAGGACAACUCUUAGAGUUUACAAAAGAUCAGCAUGAGGGAUGGAGAGAUGGCUCAGUGGCAAAGAGUAUGUGCCGCUCUUGUAGAGAACCUAAAUUCUGUUCCUAGCACCCAAUUCAGGUGACUUGCAAUACCCUGGAACACUAGGGGGAUCCAUCACCUCUGGCCUCUGCAGAAAAGACUGGUCAUGCUAUACAGCCGACUAACACCUGCUAAAAGAAGGGUGUCGGGAGAGUCGCACAGUCCCAUGAGCUGUCGUGGCCACAGCCACAGCCGCAUCUGACCACAGCUCCAGAUGCACCGACCCUCCACCCUCGAGAGAGGCUCAGAAGCA